rnacentral:piRNA from 1 species
UCUAUCGUUUUUUUAAUCUAA